UAGGGAAUCUUCGGCCNUUGGGGGCAACCCUGACCGAGCAACGCCGCGUGAGUGAAGAAGGUUUUCGGAUCGUAAAGCUCUGUUGUAAGUCAAGAACGAGUGUGAGAGUGGAAAGUUCACACUGUGACGGUAGCUUACCAGAAAGGGACGGCUAACUACGUGCCAGCAGCCGCGGUAAUACGUAGGUCCCGAGCGUUGUCCGGAUUUAUUGGGCGUAAAGCGAGCGCAGGCGGUUUGAUAAGUCUGAAGUUAAAGGCUGUGGCUCAACCAUAGUUCGCUUUGGAAACUGUCAAACUUGAGUGCAGAAGGGGAGAGUGGAAUUCCAUGUGUAGCGGUGAAAUGCGUAGAUAUAUGGAGGAACACCGGUGGCGAAAGCGGCUCUCUGGUCUGUAACUGACGCUGAGGCUCGAAAGCGUGGGGAGCGAACAGGAUUAGAUACCCUGGUAGUCCACGCCGUAAACGAUGAGUGCUAGGUGUUGGAUCCUUUCCGGGAUUCAGUGCCGCAGCUAACGCAUUAAGCACUCCGCCUGGGGAGUACGACCGCAAGGUUG
rnacentral:rRNA from 1 species